CCAGGUUAAUAUUCCAGUCGAUGGUCAGUUGCCAUAUAAACCACACAUCUAAUCCCAGGUUAAUAUUCCAGUCGAUGGUCAGUUGCCAUAUAAACCACACAUCUAAUCCCUAGGUUAAUAUUCCAGUCGAUGGCCAGUUGCCAUAUAAACCACCCAUCUAAUCCCAGGUUAAUAUUCCAGUCGAUGGUCAGUUGCCAUAUAAACCACACAUCUAAUCCCUAGGUUAAUAUUCCAGUCGAUGGCCAGUUGCCAUAUAAACCACACAUCUAAUCCCAGGUUAAUAUUCCCGUCGAUGGUCAGUUGCCAUAUAAACCACACAUCUGUAUUUAUAUCCAUGUGUGUGUGUUGUCCAGCCCAGUAAAAGACAUCCAUGAUAUUCUGGACCUGACCGUCUUUGAUGAGGAUGGAGACAAAGCACCUGACUUCCUGGGCAAAGUGGCCAUUCCUCUGCUUUCUAUCCACAAUGGUCAACCGAUCUGCUGUCCCCUGAAGAAAGAGGAUCUGGGGUGUCUGUCUAAAGGAAGCAUCUCCCUAGAGCUGGAGCUCGUCUUCAACCCAGUCAGAGCAGCUAUCAGAACAUUUAAACCAAGGAGAAGAAAUUCAUGGAAGACAAUCCCAAG